rnacentral:rRNA from 1 species
GAUGAACGCUAGCUACAGGCUUAACACAUGCAAGUCGAGGGACCGGCGCACGGGUGAGUAACACGUAUCCACCCUGCCCUUUACUCGGGGAUAGCCUUUCGAAAGAAAGAUUAAUACCCGAUCUAAAAGAUUGGGAUGCGUUCCAUUAGGUUGUUGGUAAGUUAACGGCUCACCAAGCCUUCGAUGGCUAGGGGUUCUGAGAGGAAGGUCCCCCACAUUGGAACUUAGACACGGUCCAAACUCCUACGGGAGGCAUAAGUGAGGAAUAUUGGUCAAUGCGCGCUAGCCUGAACCAUCCAAGUAGCGUGAAGGAUGAAGGUUUAUGGGUCGGAAACUUCUUUUAUAUAAGAAUAUGUAUUAGAUGAAUAAGGAUCGGCUAACUCCGUGCCAGCAGCCGCGGUAAUUC